AUGAAAAAAAUUUUGUACAUGAAAGUUGCUCAGAACGACGAGACGAACCCGGAUACGCAGCCCGUUCAUCCGCCACGCAGCCCUAACCUAUCGAACUCGCAACUUUCCCCCUCCGGCUCCUCUGUCCGAAAACGCGAAACACCGGGGAUACUUUCCCGGAUGUUUUCCCCCUUAACCGGUAUCACCUCAUACCGCGUUAGGGCACCCCUAGCACCGAUACUUGUCAUGUCAUGCAUCGCUAUGCAUCUGUUAGCAUUGUAUUUAUUGUUUCUUUCCCCUCUUCUCUCGCUAGACACCGAAACCGACGCUGCUGCUACCCAGUAUGACUACGGAGUUGACGACCCCUCUCUCUUGCCAGAGCAACCAGGCAAGCCCCCCCCCUUUGGUCACCAGAUAUCACCUAUUCUUUUCUCUACUGCUUGCAUUAGAGUAGUGUAG
rnacentral:rRNA from 1 species